ensembl:lncRNA
GAGGAAUUAUCGUCACAGUGGUUGUUGGAGCCGGGGUUGUGGUUGUUGGAGCCAGGGUUGUGGUUGUUGGAGCUGUUGUUUUUGUUGUUGGAACUGGGGUUGUGUUUGUUGGACCCGGGGUUGUGGUUGUCGGAACUAAUGUUGUGGUUUUUAGAGCUGCAGCUGUGGUUUUUGGAGCCGCUGUUGUGGUUGUUGGAACCAAUGUUAUGGUUGUUGAAGCUGCUGUUGUGGUUUUUGGAGCCGCUAUUGUAGUUGUUUGAGCCGCGGUUGUUGUUGUUGGUGCAGUAGUUGUUGUUGGUGCAGCAGUUUUCGUUGUUGGUGCAGCAGUUUUCGUUGUUGGUGCAGCAGUUGUUGUCGUUGGUGCAGCAGCUGUUGUCGUUGGUGCAGCAGUUGUCGUUGUUUGUGCAGAAGUUGUUGUCGUUGGUGCAGCAGUUGCCGUUGUUGGUGCAGCAAUUGUCGUUGUUGGUACAGCAGUUGUUGUUGUAGGUGAAAAAGUUGUUGUUGUAGGUGCAGCAGUUGUGGUUGAUGCAGUAGUUGUUGUUUGUGCAGUAGUUGUUGUUGGUGCAGAAGUUGUUGUUGUUGGUGCAGCAGUUGUCGUUGGUGCAGCAGUUGUUGUUGUUGGUGCUACAAAUGUCGUUGUUGGUGCAGCAGUUGUCGUUGUUGGUGCAGCAGUUGUUGUCGUUGGUGCAGCAGUUGUCGUAGUUAGUGAAGCAGUUGUUGGUGCAGCAGUUGUCGUUUGUGCAGCAGUUGUCGUUGGUGCAGCAGUUGUCGUGGUUGGUGCAGCAGUUGUCGUUUGUGCAGCAGUUGUCGGUGAUCCAGCAGUUGUCGGUGUUGUUGCCACUGUUAUGGUUGUUGGAGCCGCUGUUAUGGUUGUUGGUGCCACUGUUGAAGUUGUUGGAGCUGCUGUUGUGGUAGCUGGAACUGUUGUGGUAGUUGGAACUGCUGUUGUGGUUGUUGGAGCAGCUGUUGUGGUUGUCGGAGCUGCUGUUGUGGUUGGUUGAUCCGGGCCUGUGGUUGUUGGAGCCGCUGUUGUGGUUGUUGGAGCUGCUGUUGUGGUUGGUGGACCCAGGCCUGUUGUUGUUGGAGCUGCAGUUGUCGUUUGUGCAGCAGAUGUCGUUGGUGCAAUAGUUGUCAAUGUUGGUGCAGCAGUUAUUGUCGUUGGUGCUGCAGUUGUCGUUGUUGAUGCAGCAGUUGUUGCUGUAGGUGCAACAGUUGUCGUUGUAGGUGCAGCAGUUGUGGUUGAUGCAGUAGUUGUUGUUGUUAGUGCAGUAGUUGUUGUUGUUGUUCCUGCAGCAGUUGUCGUUGUUGGUGCAGCAGUUAUUGUAGUUGGUGCAGCAGUUGUCGUUGUUAGUGAAGCAGUUGUUGGUGCAGCAGUUGUCAUUGGUGUAGCAGUGGUUGGUGUUGGUACAGCAGUUGUCGUUAUUGGUGCGACAGUUGUCAAUGUUGGUACAGCAGUUAUUGUCGCUGUUGGUGCAGCAGUUGUCGUUGUUGGUGCAACAGUUGUCGUUGUUAGUGAAGCAGUUGUUGGUGCAGCAGUUGUUGUUGGUGGAGCAGUUAUUGUCGUUGGUGCUGCAGUUGUCGUUGUUGAUGCAGCAAUUGUCGUUGUUGGUGCAGCAAUUGUCGUUGUUGGUGCAGAAAUUGUCGUUGGUGCAGCAGUUGUCGUUGUUGGUGCAGCAAUUGUCAUUUGUGCAGCAGUUGACGUUCGUGCAACAGUUGUCAAUGUUGGUGCAGCAGUUAUUGUCGUUGGUGAUGCAGUUGUCGUUGUUGAUGCAGCAAUUGUCGUUGUUGGUGCAGCAGUUGUCUUUUGUGCAGCAGUUGUCGUUGGUCCAGCAGUUGUCAGUGUUGGUGCCGUGGUUGUGGUUGUUGGAGCCGCUGUUAUGGUUGUUGGAGCCACUGUUGAAGUUGUUUGAGCUGCUGUUGUGGUUGUUGGAGCAGCUGUUGUGGUUGUUGGAGCUGCUGUGGUGGUUGUUGGAAGUGCUGUUGUGGUUGUUGGAGCCGCUGUUGUGGUUGUUGGAGCUGCUGUGGUGGUUGGUGGACCCAGGCCUGUUGUUGUUG